GACAGAGGAUGCAAGCGUUAUCCGGAAUGAUUGGGCGUAAAGCGUCUGUAGGUGGCUUUUUAAGUCCGCCGUCAAAUCCCAGGGCUCAACCCUGGACAGGCGGUGGAAACUACCAAGCUGGAGUACGGUAGGGGCAGAGGGAGUUUCCGGUGGAGCGGUGAAAUGCGUAGAGAUUGGAAAGAACACCAAUGGCGAAAGCACUUUACUGGGCUAUCACUGACACUGAGAGACGAAAGCUAGGGGAGCGAAUGGG
rnacentral:rRNA from 1 species